CAUGAAAUGUCAGUCCAGGGGUAUCUCUGUGGUUGUCAUGAGGGCAAGAAAAACACGCAGCAAGUUCUCAUUCUUCUCCUCCCCUUGGCUGUUCCUGCCCCUCUGCUCCUGCUGACUGUCACAGGCGUUCAGGGCCAGCCCCUUGGUCUGGCAGUGAAGAGCCCUGGUUUGCAUUGCGUCCCGGACAACAAAAAGGAGGCACCCUUGGUGUAAAGGAAAAGGCUCCUCAGAAGAAGGUUUUCCUGACGUGAUGGAACAACUGCCCUGCUUCGUUGCUGCAAAGUGCCGUGCCUUCGUGUGCUGACCUCAAGCAAGCGAGAAAUGGAGAGUAGACUAACCAAAGAAAAGUCCCUCGCAGCCACGCAUUAAAUAUUUUCCUAGUGACUCUUUAAAUACUUAUGUAUUGAUGAAAUUUCACCGUCCUUCGAAAAAUGUCAAGAACCAUGCUCCUGCACCUCUAUCGCAUCAUUGCAAGGGUUUGUUUUAGUGGGAGAUGCAGAUGACUAGCAGUGUGCUGCAACUGAGAAAGGAGGACUUCUGUGACAACCGAGGAGACAGAAUGCUCCAGAUAGUACAUCUGAAAGAAAUGAUUGCCAAAGUCCUCAAGAGAGGAAAUCUCCAGACUUAUCGAGAUUUCAGCGGAGCACAGACACGGUUAAAUCCAGCAGAGCAGGGAGAAGCAACCUCAAACCAGUCCUUCCUCCCAAGAAAUUACCUCCCAAGCCAUGUGGCAAGGAGUUCAGUGCUGACCUUCGUCUAAAGUUUGGUGCCUCUGUGCCAUCCAAUUUCAUGUCAUUUCUGUUGGUUUUGUGAAGACUAAACAGACAUCUCCCACAGUGAGCUUUUCAUAUA